CCUAUGGGUGGCAGCAGUGGGGAAUAUUGGGCAAUGGAGGCAACUCUUACCCAGCAAUGCCGCGUGAAUGAAGAAGGUCUUCGGAUUGUAAAGUUCUUUAAUUGGGGACGAAAAAAAUGACGGUACCCAAGGAAUAAGCCCCGGCUAACUACGUGCCAGCAGCCGCGGUAAUACGUAGGUGGCAAGCGUUAUCCGGAUUUAUUGGGUGUAAAGGGCGUGUAGGCGGGAGCGCAAGUCAGAUGUGAAAACUCAGGGCUCAACCCUGAGCCUGCAUUUGAAACUGUGUUUCUUGAGUGCUGGAGAGGCAAUCGGAAUUCCGUGUGUAGCGGUGAAAUGCGUAGAUAUACGGAGGAACACCAGUGGCGAAGGCGGAUUGCUGGACAGUAACUGACGCUGAGGCGCGAAAGCGUGGGGAGCAAACAGGAUUAGAUACCCGGGUAGUC
rnacentral:rRNA from 1 species